AAUGAACGUUGGCGGCGUGGAUUAGGCAUGCAAGUCGAGCGAGAAGAGUUUUGAAGCUUGCUUUAGAACUCGGAAAGCGGCGAAAGGGAGAGUAACGCGUAGUUAUGUACCCAGGGGUUCGGAAUAGCCACGGGAAACUGUGGGUAAUGCCGAAUAACAUCUCCGGAUCAAAGGUGUGAUUCCGCCCUUGGAGCAGACUGCGUCCUACUAGCUAGUUGGCGGGGUAAUGGCCCACCAAGGCAACAAUGGGUAGCGGGUGUGAGAGCAUGACCCGUCUCACUGGGACUGAGACACUGCCCAGAAACCUACGGGUGGCUGCAGUCGAGAAUCUUCGGCAAUGGGCGAAAGCCUGACCGAGCGACGCCGCGUGCGGGAUGAAGGCCCUCGGGUUGUAAACCGCUGUCGUAGGGGAGGAAGGCUCCGUGAAGAACGGGGUUUGACCUAUCCUAGGAGGAAGUACGGGCUAAGUUCGUGCCAGCAGCCGCUGUAACAC
rnacentral:rRNA from 1 species